rnacentral:lncRNA from 1 species
UUCAUUAAAAUCAAAACCAUAUCCGCCCCAUUGCACCAUCGGUUCGGUUAAUCGCGAUUUUCGAUUUUGAUGGUUCAAAUUGUCAUCUCUAAGCUGGUAUGGCUGGGAUCUUUGUCAGAGAAAUAGUGCGACUACAUGGGUUUCUCGCUCCAUUGUCUCCGAUAGAGAUAAGAUAUUUGUAAGCCAUUUCUAGGAAGAGUUGGUCCGUUUGCAAGGUACAAGGCUAAACCGAAGUACAGCUUAUCACCCUCAGUCGGAUGGACAAACUGAGGUAUUAAAUCGCACCCUGGAAAACUAUUUGAGGUGUUUUGCUUCUUCUCAACCUUGGUACAACUGGUUACCUUGGGCUGAGCUCUGGUAUAAUAUCUCUUACUACUCGACGGCCAAGUUUACUCCUUUCCAAGCUAUGUAUGGGCAUGGACCACCGGUGUUACUGCAGUAUGAAAAAGGGUCCACUUCAGUCUCGGCUCUAGAACAGCAGCUUCAGGAAAGGGGCUUAAUACUGGAGGAAUUGAAGGCCCAAUUGCUUUGGGCCCAGACGCAGAUGAAAAACUUAGCUGAUGCAAAGAGAAGGGAUGUCCAGUUUCAAGAGAGAGAUUUGGUAUAUCUGAAGCUUCAGCCUUAUCGGCACAAAACAUUAGCUACACGACCGAAUGAAAAAUUGGCACCAAGGUUUUAUGGUCCCUUUGCGGUGGAAAAGAGAGUUGGUUCUGUUGCUUACAUGCUAGUUCUGCCGCCUACUUGCAACGUUCAUCCCAUUUUCCACGUUUCACAGUUGCGAAAAGCGAAAGGGGUAGUCCAGGCUAUGAAUGAGAUACAACGACAUUUAAGCGAUGAAUUGGAAAUGUUUGUGGAACCAGAAGCACUGUUGGGAGAUAGACCAGGAGUUGGUUCCAACAUUAGGGGGCUGGAUGUCUUAAUAUAUUGGAAAGGGCUACCAUCGCUAGAAGCUACCUGGGAAUCUUUUGACAUGAUUAAACAGCAAUUUUCAACUUUCCACCUUGAGGACAAGGUGGGUCUCAUGGGAAGGAGUAAUGUUAGGCCCGCAAUAUGGAAAAAAUAUCAGAGGCGCAACAAAUUGGGUGAGGGCAGUUUAGGAAUUACAAAAGAAGAGGGUGGCACAUGCACAGUUAUGAAUUCUGUUAAGGCAGC